UUUCCUUCAAAUAGGCUAAUGCAAUAAAAAGUUAUUAGCAUUUUAAAAAGUGUAAUUACUCAUGGUUAAUGAAUGGUUUAUUACUCUUGACCAAUAGGUGGCGCUGUCACCAAAUUUAUGUGGCAUGGUCAGUGUGAGGUGGCGAUGACACAUACAAAAUUUGGUGCAAAUAUGUCAAAGCGUUGCAGAGAUACAGCCUCAAAUGCAUUUUGGCACCCUUCCAGCAAAUUCGUUGAUGCGCUAAAUGAGAACUGUUUCGUAUAUCGACACGAAAUCCAUAACUUUUUGCCAGCAUGGUCUGAAGAUGAUUCACGUCAAAUUUGGUGAAAAUUGGACUAACGGUCUAGGAGGAGUUCGAAAAAGUAGGUUUUCAACAUUAAGAAAAAUGGCGGACAGGAAGUAAGGCCAAUUUUCACAUUAUUGGUAUCAAUACUCUCGGCAUGACCCACAGAAUAUAGCGAGACCAUUUUAAUUUUAAUAGACUAAUUUAUUCAAAAGUUAUUAGCGUUUAUGUGAUAUUUCAUUAUAACUAUUGGCCACAAGGUGGCGCUGCCACCAAACUUUUUGAGUACCUUCAGGGCAUGGAGCCGAAUAUUUUUGUAAUUAUUUGUGAAACGAUACGAU